rnacentral:rRNA from 1 species
AUACGGAGGGUGCAAGCGUUACUCGGAAUCACUGGGCGUAAAGCGCGCGCAGGCGGGCUGAUAAGUUGGAUGUGAAAGCCUACGGCUCAACCGUAGAACUGCAUCCAAAACUGUCAGUCUAGAGUGUGGGAGAGGAAGAUGGAAUUAGUUGUGUAGGGGUAAAAUCCGUAGAGAUAACUAGGAAUACCAAAAGCGAAGGCAAUCUUCUGGAACACUACUGACGCUGAGGCCCGAAAGCGUGGGGAGCAAACAGGAUUAGAAACCCUAGUAGUCC